UACGAAGGGUGCAAGCGUUACUCGGAAUUACUGGGCGUAAAGCGUGCGCAGGCGGUUCGUGAUGUCUGGUGUGAAAGCCCCGGGCUUAACCUGGGAAUUGCAUUGGAAACUAGCGGGCUGGAGUGUGGCAGAGGGGGGGUGGAAUUCCACGUGUAGCAGUGAAAUGCGUAGAGAUGUGGAGGAACACCGAUGGCGAAGGCAGCCCCCUGGGCUAACACUGACGCUCAUGCACGAAAAGCGUGGGGAGCAAACAGG
rnacentral:rRNA from 1 species